rnacentral:rRNA from 1 species
UACGUAGGGUGCAAGCGUUGUCCGGAAUUAUUGGGCGUAAAGAGUUCGUAGGCGGCCUGUCGAGUCCGGUGUGAAAGCCUGGGGCUCAACCCCAGGGCUGCAGUGGAUACGGGCAGGCUAGAGUCAGGUAGGGGAGAACGGAAUUCCUGGUGUAGCGGUGAAAUGCGCAGAUAUCAGGAGGAACACCGGUGGCGAAGGCGGUUCUCUGGGCCUGUACUGACGCUGAGGAACGAAAGCGUGGGGAGCGAACAGG